rnacentral:pre_miRNA from 1 species
UUAUAUUGGUCAUGUAUGAUUUGGAGCUAGUAGUUGGCUUUACUAUUAAACUUGCUCCAAGUUUAAUAGUAAAGCCAACUACUAGCUCUAAAUCAUAGAUGACCA